rnacentral:sRNA from 1 species
CCAGAUAUAGAUGUCCGCUUGAGCAUAUUGGGCCCAACAAGGCUCUAGAUGUUCGAUAUCGCAUCUCAGAAAUUGUCUCCCAGUUAACCUUAUAGGGUAGCUUCGUUUCCGCAAGUUAUGAGGCGAGUUGAGUCCACUUGAAAAGAAAAAGCCGAAUGAAAGAAUUUAGUGAGAACGAUCGUUACUAUAUAACAAAAUCUGCUGAUUCGCCAGUAGUAACUAACGGAACUGCAAAUCGGAAGCGAAGAAACGACUCCAUCUUAAAUGGGGGAGUUUUUGGUUCUUUUGAAUCAAAAUAACCUAUAAACAGUAAAAAAGCAUAUAUGGCGACAUUCUUACCGAUUAUCAAUGCACAGUGUUCGAGAGGAAUCGCCUACUUCCCCAGUCUAAUACUCACCAGAUCCUUCUUCUGUCUGCCCUCAGCAUCAAAAUUGUCAGCAUCCAGCCACUUUUCAAGAGCCCCCUUAACCUCUCCCUUCCACUCCUCAUCAAC